rnacentral:snRNA from 1 species
UUACUUUAGCAGUGUGUGUACUAAUAUUGGAACAAUAUAGAGAAGAUUAACAUGGCCCCUUUGCAGUGCUGACUUACAAAUCUAUGAUACAUUCUAUAUUUCA